UCUGCCCCAUUAACCAUUUCAUGCUGCUGUGUCACAUGUGCAUCAGUAGGUGGCAGAGGAGAGAGAGGUUAUGUCCAUGUCCAGUGUUCUGAUCUGUGAACAUCUGAAUGAUUAGUAGCCUAACACU